CAGCCGCCGCGGGAAUACGUAGGUGGCAAGCGUUGUCCGGAAUUAUUGGGCGUAAAGCGCGCGCAGGCGGAUAGGUCAGUCUGUCUUAAAAGUUCGGGGCUUAACCCCGUGAUGGGAUGGAAACUGCCAAUCUAGAGUAUCGGAGAGGAAAGUGGAAUUCCUAGUGUAGCGGUGAAAUGCGUAGAUAUUAGGAAGAACACCAGUGGCGAAGGCGACUUUCUGGACGAAAACUGACGCUGAGGAGCGAAAGCGCGGGGAGCGAACAGGAUUAGAUACCCCCGUAGUCCCUGUCUCUUAUACA
rnacentral:rRNA from 1 species